AUCAGGAUGCAGCUGGUCACCGAGGCGCGCUCAAUUCAACUCAGGAACUGCAAGCGAAAGGAAUCCGGGUCACCCGAGGUUUCCACUGUGCGUCUCUGUGAAGGUUGAAGGGAACUGCCAAAGAAGUUUGUAUUUUUACGAUACAUAACGUUAGCUCGUCUUUUCUUGGCAUUACAAGUGGCGAGCCAACAACACAGCAAACUCCCGUGUUACUGCAACGUCCCGAACACGCGUUUAAGCCAAUGGACCGCACCGUUAAAAUGAACGCAAUUAACGGCUCUGGUCGCGUUGGCUAACGUUCACGAGCUAGCUUAAUUUAGCUUAACUUGGGGGGGGGGACUUGUGGUUGGUUUUGCACUGUGAACUGAACUGUUUCACCCGUCGCGCUGAACCAUUUCUCGCUGUGCCCCGCGGAGGGCCGUGCGAACGAUGGCAAGAAAGAAUGAGGCUAAAGAAAACGGGAAGGCCAGACUCAAAGCGAAGACGCCGAAGAAGCGCAGAGACUAUGAAAACGAUGGAGCCACGGGAUAUGCGACCUGGAACAGUGCCAAGUCCACUGAAGCGACACAGAUACCGGGAAGACGAACGCCUCAGAAAAAGGUCAAGACACCCAAGACUGAACCCCUGGACUCUGCCAUCCGUGAGUCGGUGAAACCGAAACAAGAGGGUGAGGAAAGAAAAGGAAUAAAAAGGAAAAGAGUAAAAGAAAAGCUCACAGACGACCCUUCACACUCCACUGCUUCACAUUCGUCAAAGAAGGAAAGUGCAGAAAAAGAAGAAAAGGAGGUUGGGAAAAGGAGAAUAAGGAGGACAAAACGUGCUGUGACGGCGGCAAGACUGCUGAAGAUCCAAAAGCAGGAGGAGGAGCAGCAGCAGAGUUGCUGGAGAUGGUGGGAGGAGAAGAAGUAUGAAGAUGGGGUGAAAUGGAAGUUUCUGGAACACAACGGACCCUAUUUCCCUCCCGACUACCAGCCUCUGCCAGACAACGUUCACUUCUUUUAUGAUGGUAUGGAGGUGAAGCUGAGCCCGGCCGCUGAAGAGGUGGCGGUUUUCUUUGGCCGGAUGUUGGACCAUGAGUACACCUUCGAGGAGGUGUUCCAGGCUAACUUCUUGACCGAUUGGAGGAAGGAAAUGGUCGAUGAGGAGAGAUUGCUGAUUACAGAUCUGGACAAAUGUGACUUCCGGGAGAUCCAUACCAUGCACAAAGCCACGGUGGAGGCCAAGAAAAACUCCACCGUAGCGGAGAAACUGGCCUUGAAAGAGGCCAACCAGAAGAUUUUGGAGGAAUAUGGCUACUGUCUGCUGGACCACCACAAAGAGCGCAUUGGCAACUUCAAGAUUGAGCCUCCGGGGCUGUUCCGCGGUCGAGGCGGGCAUCCCAAGAAGGGAAUGCUGAAGAAAAGGAUCCAACCAGAGGACGUCACCAUCAACUGCAGCAGCGAAUCCCGAGUUCCCGUGCCGCCUGCUGGUCACAGCUGGAAGCAGGUUCGCCAUGACAACACUGUGACAUGGCUGGCGAGCUGGACCGAGAACAUCCAGGGCGUCACUAAAUACAUCAUGCUGAAUGCCAACUCUAAACUCAAGGGAGAGAAGGACUGGGAGAAAUACGAGAUGGCCCGGAAGCUGAAGUUGUGUGUUGACGACAUCCGUAACCAGUACCUUCAGGAUCUCAAAUCCGAAGAUAUGGUCACACGUCAAAGAGCCGUGGCCCUCUACUUCAUAGACAAGCUGGCACUGAGAGCUGAAAAUGAGAAGGAGGAGGGAGAGACGGCAGACACAGUCGGUUGCUGCUCGCUACGUGUGGAGCACGUCACCCUUCACAAGAAGCUGGAAGGCAACAAGUAUGUGGUGGAGUUAGACUUCCUGGGUAAAGAUAGCAUCCGCUACUACAACAAGGUCUCCGUCAUCAAGAAGGUUUUUAAGAAUCUUAAUAUGUUCCUGGAGGACAGAAAUCCUGGGGAUGAACUCUUUGGCAGACUCAACACUAUCAUGCUGAACAAGCACCUGAGCUCUCUAAUGACCGGUCUGACCGCCAGGGUCUUCAGGACGUACAACGCUUCCAUCACCUUACAGGAGCAGCUCAAAGAGCUGACAAACAAGUCUGACAAUGAGCAGGAGAAGCUGCUGUGCUACAACAAGGCAAACAGAGCAGUUGCCAUUCUGUGUAACCACCAGCGGGCGCUGCCAAAGACCUUCGAGCAGUCUAUGGCCAACCUCCAGGCCAAGAUUGAUGAUCAGAAGAAAUAUCUGGCCCUCUUAAAGACAGAGCUCAAACAGGCCAAGAAGAAGGCAAAGACCAAAGGCAGCUCGGACCCCAAGCUGCAGACGUGGUGGACAAGAAGGCAGCGGUGCGGCGCUGCAAGGAGAAGCUGCUGAAGUUGGAUGUCCAGGCGAUAAACAGAGAGGAAAACAAACAGAUUGCACUUGGUACCUCAAAGGUCAGCUACCUGGACCCGCGCAUCACCGUGGCCUGGUGCAAGAACAUGGCGGUACGAAUAGAAAAAAUCUACAAUAAGGCCCAAAGGGACAAAUUUGCCUGGGCCAUCAACAUGACGGAGGACGACUUUGAGUUCUAAACUGAUGCAAUUAAGGAACCUUUCACUUAAUACAUACAAAACUUUAAUAUUGCAUUCAUAAAAUGUUCACUAAAUGUUCCACCUUCCUUACAUUGUAUAACAUGCUUUGUUUACUGCUAAAGUAUGUUUAAGGCUUUUGGCACUUAAUUCUGUUGGUCAUUUGCUCUGUGAAUUUUGUUUGCAGUCAUGUGACUCUUUUGGGAAGCCAUUCUACCUCUAAUUCAGUUGACAUUAAAUGGUUAACAUAUUA